AUGACACUAGCGGGAGAGAUCUGAUUCGUCAGGCGCCGAAGGAGAAAUUCCUUGAAAUCGCUCUUUCAAGGAGGGAAGCUCUCAGGCAAAUGUACUGCUAGAAGACG
rnacentral:ncRNA from 2 species